rnacentral:misc_RNA from 1 species
UCCGAUUAUUCAUCGGCAGUCCUACUAAAGUUCCUAACUUAAUAUUGGCAAUUAGUAGCAAGGGUUGCGCUCGUUGCGUCACUUAAGACAACAUCUCACGACACGAGCUGACGACAGCCAUGCAGCACCUGUGUCUAGGUUCCCGAAGGCACAAUCUAAUCUCUUAAAUCUUCCUAGCAUGUCAAGAGCAGGUAAGGUUCUUCGCGUUGCAUCGAAUUAAUCCACAUCAUCCACCGCUUGUGCGGGUCCCCGUCAAUUCCUUUGAGUUUUAAUCUUGCGACCGUACUCCCCAGGCGGUCUACUUCUCGCGUUAGCUUCGCUACUUAUGGAUCUCUCCACCAACAGCAAGUAGACAUCGUUUAGGGCGUGGACUAC